UGUCAGAGCAUGGGGGAGGGGUUCUGGUGGGGAAAUCAGACCUAGAGCCCUUCUUGAGUCCUUUUUCUAGUUAACCCCACAGCAAGAGUCAGGUCUCAUACCUUGAAAGCGUUCAAGUGUUCAGCCCAUCAGUGAGCAAACGUUUACGGAGCAUCUACAGGGUGGAGCAGCCCUAUGCUAAGUAUCAAGGAAAGGAAGUGAGCAGAUUAGAUGUGGCUGCUGCUCCUGUCAACAUUCUAGAAGUAGUGAGUAAACAAAUACUCCGACACACAGUGUUCUAGCUGCCAUCAAGACAAGAGUUAUGAAGGAGACAUUCAGAGGUGGGACAUGAUAAAAAAAUCUGAAGGAGAGCGAUUUGCCCAAGGUCACACAGAAGCAAGACUGGGAAUGGAUUCUGAGAGCCCAUUCCCAAUUUAGGUCUUUAUCACAGACUCCCAUCAAGCCUGUUGACUCCAAGCUUCUCCCAAUUUCUUUCCUGGGUCACAAGUGAUCUACAUGACUUCUCUUCCCUCAAUCCCCAGCCCUGGAUGUGACUUUGGGGGUGAGCCAUUGAGGACUUGUGAAAUAGCAAGAAACAUAUGUAUUGGUCUCUGUCCCAGGUCCUGAAAUAGGGCUCUAGUAAUUUUCUAAGUGAUAGAAGUAUUGGAAGCACUGUUUUUCUCUACUAGCUGGUCUGUGAACCCAGUCCUUGACACAAGGUUCCUAAAUCCUGGGUGAUAGGAUUGUCUUUUGCUCUAAUGAGGUGACUCUGGAUGGGCUCCUGGACAGCUCCUGAGUGGGACUGGUCACCAGAAAGAUCAAACCAUCAUUAAAAGUUUGGGACUUUCAUCCCUACCCUCCAUGUUCCUUGAAGGGAAGUGGGAUUGGAAAUGGAUAUAAUAAAUGAUCAAGCUUACAAUGAUGAAGCAUCCAUAAAAAUCCCAAAAGGAUGAUGUUUGUAGAAUUCCUGAGGUGGUGAACAAACCCAUGUACCAGGAAGGUAACACAUUCCAACUCCAUGGGGACAGAAGUUCCUGCAUUCAGGACCCUUCCAGACCUCACCCAGUGCACCUCUUCAUCCAGCAGUUUAUCUGGAUCCUUUAUCAUAUAAUAAACUAGUAAAUGUAAGUAAGCAUUUCCUUGAGUUCUGGGAUCUGUUCUAGCAAAUAAUCAGAUUUAACGGGAGUGGACCAUGAGAACCUCCAGUUUGUAGUCAAGUUGGACAGAAGGUGUGAAUAACCUGAGGAACCUACUACUUGCCAUUGGCAUCCAAAGUGAGAGGUAGUUAGGGUGGAUCUUGGACUGAGCCCUUGACCUGUGGGAUCUGGGGUUAUCUCCAGACUGACAGCAUCAGAAUUAAGUUGUAGGACACUUGGCUGUUUUGCUCGGUGUGGGGGGAAAAUACCUACUCAUCUGGUGUCAGAAGUGUUGUGGGUGUGAUUGCAAUGUAAGAGAAAAGCAGAAGCACAUGGCUUUCUUCAUGUAGGAAUGUUCUUCAGGGGUAGGCAAGAGAGGAAAGACCUUUGCCCCUGGACUUGGGCUGUCCAGGGCCGCAUACAUUACCAGGCUGAUGACAAUGUGGG
ensembl:lncRNA